GUAGAGAGAUGACAGGAAAGAGCGGAGCUGGAUCGCCAAAGGACCUCGAGACGGGAAUCGAACUCGGGUCGCAGUGAGCAGAGGCUUACCACAAGGCUAUUGGUGUCCACUUGUUUAUCUGUUACACAACCGUUCAAAAGUUUAGGGUUGGUAAGAUUUGUAAUGUUUUAAAGGACCUCACUUAUGCUCACCAAGGCUGCAUUUGAUCAUAAAAUAUAGUAAUAUUGUGAAAUAUUACAAUUUAACAUAACAAACUUAUUUCUAUAAAAUAUAUGUAAUAUCUUUUAAUGAUGAUCAUUUUUUUUUCAGCUAAAUUUUUUAGCUAAAAAAAAACAAUUAUUAUCAACAUUAUUAUAAUUUAAUACUUAGUGGAAACUGAAUCCUUUUUUUGCACGAUAUCUUCACUGAUGAACAGAAUUUCAAAAGAACAGCAUUUAUUUCAAACAGAAUAUAAAUAGAAAUAAUAUAAAUAAACAUCUUUACUUUUGAUUAGUUUAAUCCAUCUUUCCGGAAUAAAAGUUUUUUUUUUUUACUUACUCAAAUAUUUUAAAUUUAUGUUUAGGAGACACUUUUAUCCAAAGCAACUUACAAAUGAGGGCAAAACAACAAAAGAGCGACAAUAUUUAUUUAUUUAUUUAUUUGCUAGUAGUAGAGGAAACGUCACCAAGGCUCGCCCCAAUCGCUACAGUGAUCGAAAGUACAAAAUCGCUCAUAACUAGGGCUGUUCGAUUCUGAAAAUUUUGGAAUCGAGUCCGAUUCCGAUUCCUGGUUCUGGAAUCCUUUAGAUUCGAUUCCAAGAAUCGAUUCCUCACUGUUGUUUUCGAUUCUUUUUCAAUUCUUAUUUUGUUUAGAGUGGAGGAACCUAAUUUCGCCAUGACUGUAGGAUAUAAAGGUCUUAGAAAGCAGACUUAUCAUAAUAGGAAGCUUUAUUUUAAAAAAAAAAUUAUGAUAUAUUUUUGUAUUUAAGUUGUAAUUUUGUGUGCAUUGCACAUGAAAUUAGUCACAGCCCACAGCGCAGUUCAGCUGAAUGAUGUGUACUUCAACUGUAUGCUUUGCGCAAAAUGAACAAACUGUACACUGAAACAAAAUAACCAGAACAACAACACUAAUAUACAGUGUUGGGGGUAAAUGUGAACAUGCAUUAAUUCAUCUCACUCAAAAACAAAAAACAAAAAACAGAUUCAGUAUUUCUCAAAAUGAAUAAAAACGCAGAACGCAGAAUAUGAUGCAACCCUGCAAUAAUUAAACAUGUUAAAACAAAUAUCCUUUAUGUAUUUAAUCCCAUUUUAUUAACCAGUGUCUUUGCUGCUGUUAACUUUCGAUGAUGCAAUUCAACCAUACUAAUAAGCAAAAAUUACUUUAGAUAUAUUAAUAUUUGUGCUUCAUUUUUUUAUUACUGAAGAGUGAUCUCCUGCAUAAAUCUUUUCUUUCAGUCUGAGGUGAAUUCAUUUCACUUUUGGUGUAAAAUGGCUUUUACAUUAGAAUUGUUUUAUAAUAAAAACUAAGAAGCAAGCCCUGCCCAGAUUUUAAAAGUAAGGCAAAAGUAGCGUAACGCAUUACUUUGCAUACAAAGUGAAUACGUAACGUAAUUAGUUACUUUUUCGGGCAGUAACACAAAAUUGUAAUGCAUUAUUUUUAAAAGUAACUUUCCUCAACACUGCUAAUAAGAGUUCCUUGUUUAUCUGUAAAUCAGAUGGGCUCUCGGCCACUGAUCUGCACUGUAGAAAAAAUCCGUAAAAAUACAGUACAAUAUACCCUAAUAAUUACAGGAAAUUUUCCGUUUUUGGUUUUUACAGGUGUUUUUCCGUAUUUUUGAAUUACGCUUUGCAUUGUGGGAACAAGAACGUUGAUGGCUUACAUAGGCGCGAAAACAGUGAAGAGAAGACGCGGAGAGUUUCUCGGUCAAAGUUUCAUUUUAAUGUCGGCUUUCGAAUUUGGGAAACAUGUUUUUCAUAUACUCUUAGUGGUAAACGAGUUAAAUGUCACAUAAAUUGUUUACGUAACGUUAACUUAGUUGCUGUCUGGCUUGUUUGGCAAAUGAACGUCAGAGCUGUCGCACUCAACAUUUCUCUGCAUAUCGUCAGACAUCUUCCUCGUGGAGUUUUCUGCCAAAGGAGGUAAGGUUUGACCUUUUAUUGUCUUUUUUACACACACACGGAAGAUAAAAUGCAAAACGGAAACUAAUUCGGUAACGUUACUAGCAAGCUGUCUGUGAAGCGACUGUGUAAACAGAGGCCUCCGAUGCGCGGUAACCGCGCCAGAUGCCGCUUGCCAGUAACGUUAACGUCAGCUCCUCGAGUUAUCUUUAUCACUCUAAUGGACAAAUGCACACGACAUUAUGUCAAAAUGACCGCUGUGUUUCUUUCGUUUUCUUUUUUAAUGACAGGAUGUGAUUGCUGCUGUACUGUGAAUCUCAAGCACACCCUCAUUCUUAUCAUGGGUGAUGGGCAGUUCAAGAAGUUAAUGACCACUGUUGCGGUUGUGAGCUACAAAUACCCAGAAGAGGCGGCACUUCAUACAGAAAGUUUUCCUGUGAAGAAAUCCUAAAUGAGGGUUGAGAUGAAGGCAACCAGGUGAUGGGCAGUUCAAGAUUGCUGUCGUUUGAGAAGUUAAUGAACAAACCUUCUUUCCUGUUGCGGUUGUGAGCUACAAAAUACCCAGAGGAGGCGGCACUUACUCUGGAGCUCAUACAGAAAAUUUUCCUGUGAAGAAAUCCUGAACGUGGUUUGAGAUGAAGGCAACCAAGUGGCUGUGCAUUCCUCCAAGACUCUUGCAUGAACAAUUUUGGAAAUCCAUGUAAUAUUUGAGUUUUCAAAUUGAAAAAAAUGGCACUUGCAUUAAACAUGCAGUUAAAUGGGAAAUAAUACAUCCCCUAUAAUGAAUUGCAUCACUUCAAUGAUAUUUCUGGUACAAUGAACUUCAAAAUUCUGUUGUCAAGCCACUGGAGUCACAUACUUUAUACCUUUCUGGACCUUGAAAAUGGUAGUUGCAUAGACAAUCAAUAGAGGGACAGAAAGUACCCAGAUUUUUCUGCCGCUCCAUGUUAGAUUAGCCCCCUCUAUCUCUGCCUUCAAGUCUGCUCUAAAGACAUCUUUUCUCUCUUGCUUUCAAUACUCCUUGAACUCUAUUCCAUUGUUGCUUUUAUUGUUGUUUUUAUUUUUGAUACUUUUGUUGUGCUAAUUUUAUGUCUGAGAUUUUCUUAUUCUACUAUGUUCAGCACUUUGGUCAACUCUGGUUGUUUUUAAAUGUGAUUUAUAUAUAAAUAUUGUAUUGUAUUGUAACUAAAAAUACUCUUAAUUUGUGUUCCAAAAAUGAAUGAAAGUCUUAUGGGUUUGGAAAGGUAUGAGGCUGAGUAAUUGACUGAAUUAACAUUUUUGUGUGAACGAUUCCUCUAAACAAUAUUGUUUUCUCUUAUAAGAAAAAAAAGUUUUGAGCCUUGACUGUUUUACAGUUUGAAGUUUAAAUUUUGUGACCACUUUUUAGUGCAACACCUGUAUUGUACAGAUGCUCAUGUUUUCUUUUUCUUUUUUUUUUUUAAUUCUGUCCUUUACUGUUUAAAGCUAAACUGUCUUUUACAAUACAGCCAUUUUGCCUGAGUUAACACAUUGUUAAAUGAAUUUAGUAUUUGAUAUUGUUUAGUCCUAACCCACUUAAGGCAAACAAAAGCCAUUGAAUGCACUUUUAAGAAUGUUUACAUGAAGUAAAAAUAAACCAUGUUCACUUUGUAUAUUGUGCUGGAUUUAU